rnacentral:lncRNA from 1 species
CCCUUCCAUUGUUUGGACUAAACCUUCCCAGAUUUACUUACUUCCUUUUGAUGUCUGGCAAUGUUUGUUUAUUAGCGCCAGUGGCCUGUGUUAACUCUGAGUAAGUCUUUGACUAAAUCCCAUUCUCUGCCUUUCCUCCCUUCACGGGCUUGUGAGCUGAUAAACUUCAGUGCUGGCUUUCAAACCCAGUGAGGUUAAACAUGAACUUCUUUUACACCUGCCUGCUUUCCCAGCUAAUGGACCCUGGUGGCUGCUGAGAGAGGAGUCCUUUUAUGGCAAAGAGAAGGCUGCAAAAGUUCAUUUCGUUUCUGGUGGGAAGGCACACCAGCUGACUGGGUUUCAUCGUGUGGCUAUUUCAGCAAAAUUUUAAGGAGUCAGAUGUCUUGCCUAGGAGCUGU